GAUGAACGCUGGCGGCGUGCCUAAUACAUGCCAGUCGAGCGAACAGACGAGGAGCUUGCUCCUCUGACGUUAGCGGCGGACGGGUGAGUAACACGUGGAUAACCUACCUAUAAGACUGGGAUAACUUCGGGAAACCGGAGCUAAUACCGGAUAAUAUAUUGAACCGCAUGGUUCAAUAGUGAAAGACGGUUUUGCUGUCACUUAUAGAUGGAUCCGCGCCGCAUUAGCUAGUUGGUAAGGUAACGGCUUACCAAGGCAACGAUGCGUAGCCGACCUGAGAGGGUGAUCGGCCACACUGGAACUGAGACACGGUCCAGACCCCUACGGGAGGCAGCAGUAGGGAAUCUUCCGCAAUGGGCGAAAGCCUGACGGAGCAACGCCGCGUGAGUGAUGAAGGUCUUCGGAUCGUAAAACUCUGUUAUUAGGGAAGAACAAAUGUGUAAGUAACUAUGCACGUCUUGACGGUACCUAAUCAGAAAGCCACGGCUAACUACGUG
rnacentral:rRNA from 1 species